CUGAGCUCAAUAUGAUCUGCCAAUCUUGCAAUUUGGAUCUUGUAGCCUCAUCUCUGAUCAGGUAGUUAAGCAGAUGAACAAUGCUCUGAAUGAUCUGCGUGAACACUCGCAAACUUCAGUUCUAUGCUCUAGCAAUUGCAUUCUAUUAUGGAACUCACUACCCUGUAAUAAUAAUCAUGAUACUCUUUCCAGGAUACGUACUUUAAAGAAGCAUGAUAUGUCCCAUUUCCAUCCCUCUUCUUCCUGUCGCGUGCCACGUAACAUCUUUUUCAGUGCACUGAAGAGAAACGACCACCAGCAAGUCUUCAAUCUCCCUGUCUGCAUUGUCAAGAAAGAUGACACCAGAUGAGCAGAUGCAGUUGUGAUUGGAUUCAGUUCCCCGGAGAAUCUACCCACCAUAGGCUGUCUUUCGAAUUACCGCAUAAAUCCAGCAUCAACUCAUCUUCCAGCCAUUUCCACUGCAUGUAAAAUUGAAGGCUUGGUUGCAUGGUGACUGAACAAGCCCCUCAUUGAUUCUUGUGCAGCUGCAAUCUCUCUCAACCACUUGAAUAUAUUGAAAGGCAUAUCAGCAUAAUAACUGAUGAAGAGGAAAGGAAAUGUGUGUGGGGUUUCAUUCUUUUACUCCCCUGCAUAUAAGCCAACAACAUCCGCAUCUUUAGGUUGGUCAGAUGGGAAACGACAAGAAUAGCGGUGCAGUAUGGCUGCUUGUCUGCCCAACAAUCUACCACUCUCUAUGGUGGUUUGCUGGAUCUGCACAUAUAUGUUUUAGGUGAAGUAGGAGUGUGCACAUGUUGAUAAUGGCCCUUGAGUACAUAUGGUCAGCAACGCACAUCUUGGAGUGAUCUCAAUGGCAAGAUGUUCUGCAGAACAGAAAGAUUCCAAAGUAUUAUAUAGUUGGGUUUCCUUCAAGAAACACAAAGAAGUUGUGUAUAUGGUCAAGCUGUGGCCAACCUGGCCACUUUCCUCUUUUGCAAUGCCUUUGAGAUAAGAGACCAUCUGCUAGCUUUGCCUUGCGGCGUCGGCAUGGACAAGAAUUUGAAGAUGGACUGGAGAAGGG